UACGGGGGGGGCAAGCGUUGUUCGGAAUUACUGGGCGUAAAGGGUUCGUAGGUGGCUUGUUAAGUCAGACGUGAAAUCCCUCGGCUCAACCGGGGAACUGCGUCUGAGACUGAUGAGCUCGAGUGCAGGAGAGGAACGCGGAAUUCCAGGUGUAGCGGUGAAAUGCGUAGAUAUCUGGAGGAACACCGGUGGCGAAGGCGGCGUUCUGGACUGCAACUGACACUGAGGAACGAAAGCAUGGGGAGCGAACAGG
rnacentral:rRNA from 1 species